GGGAUAAGGGGAGGGAUAAAUUCUUAUCCCUCUUUAUACCCAAACACAAAUUUUUUAUCCGAGAAUAGUAAUUUUUGGGUAUCUAAAAUAAGCUGGUAUAACUAUUCCAACCAGCACCUUCAUUUUUUAUAUAUAACUAUCCAUUAUUUUUUUUAUUCCAUAUUAUCUAUCCAAACGUUAUUUUUCUUAUCCUCAGAAACAACCCAAUUUUCAUCCAAAUGCUAUUUUUUCUUAGGCUAAAUUACAGAAAACCCCCUUAUAAUAACCUGAUUUUUUACUUUCCCUCCCUGACAUUUAAAAACCUACACUUUGCCCCCCUGUAAAAUAAAAAAUGUGCACUUCACCCUCUACCGUUAAGGUUCCGUUAAAAAAUAUAUUUUUAUACCGAAAAUAUCCCUCCGCCAUCUCCCUGUUGCUUCGCCUCCCUCCGGCUCGCCACCUCGCCGCCGCCUCGCUAUUCCACCAAAAUGAUAGAAUAGCAAAUUCCUUGCUAUUCCAGGAUAACCGGGAAUAGUAAGGUUUGACCGGAAUAUUUUAUCCCAGCAAUAAAUCUUUCCAUUUGGCAGAAUAGCGGGGAUAACGAAAGUUAUCCCCGCUUACCCCCUGAACCAAACAGGACCUUAUUGUUUCAUAUUGCAAAAGAAUAUUACGUGCAUAUUAUCUGAUCUAAACAAUAAUUUUUCAAAAACUCUAGCCAAGUAAAAUAUAAUAUAAGGGCUGUUCAAAAAUACAUAAAACUCUAGCUAACGUAACCAUUUAUCUAACACUUCGAUACAAAUCAUGUUGAAAAUUUCUUCUCUAUAGUAAAAUAGGCACUACAAACCAAAGUAGUAAUACUUAAAUUGCAAAUUUUCUCAACCCCACAAACUUUUUAUGCACAAAUCAUAAUCCCAUGCACGCCUCUAUUUGGUUCAGAUAUAAGCAAGAACUGCCUAUUUCAGGAAUAGAUAUAAGUUCAGAUAUAAACAAGAAAUAGACCAAUUUUAUGUUUGGAUGGACAUUAAGAUGUUUCCAGAAAUAAGAAAAAUAACAUUUGAAUAGAUAAAAUGGAAUAAGAAGAAUAAUGGAUAGUUAUAAACAGAAAAUAAUGAUAUUGCUUCUUAUGUUAUAUUUGAAUUUAAAAUUUUAAAUUUUAUAUCUAAAUUUUUAAAUUUAAAUAUAUAACUUUUAAACUUUAAAAAUUCAAAAUUAAAAUUAUAAUUUUUAAAUCUCAAAUUUAAAAAUCCAAAGUUCUAAAUUUUAAAUUUAAGACUAAAUCUAAAUUUAAAAAUAUAAAAUAUCAAAUUAUAAAUUUUAAAAUUUUAAAAUUAUAAAUUAUAAAUUUUUAGAAUUAAAAAUUUAAAUUCAAGUUAUAAAUUUAAAUUUUAAAAAUAAAAUAGGGUGGAAACAACUGUUCCUACUCUUAUUCCUACGNUUUAAAAUUAUAAAUUAUAAAUUUUUAGAAUUAAAAAUUUAAAUUCAAGUUAUAAAUUUAAAUUUUAAAAAUAAAAUAGGGUGGAAACAACUGUUCCUACUCUUAUUCCUACGUAAGGAAUAGGAUUAUUGUCCCACCCCUUUUUUUUGUUUGUUUGUUUAGGUCCCCCUCUUUAUCUCUCAAUCAAACACUAACCUAGAAUAUUUGUUUAUUCAUUUUAGAAAAAACUUUAAAAAUCUCCUUAUAGUUUCGUACUUUUUUCAUUUUAGUAUCCUGUGUUUUAAAGUGUAUUAAGUUAGUACCCUAUGGUUUCGCACUUUAGUACUCUGUGGUUUAAAGUGUAUCAAAUUAGUUCUCUGUGGUUUUAUUUUUGUAUCAAAUUAGUACCCAGUGAUUUUAUUUUUGUAUCAAGUUAGCACCCUGUGAUUUUUAAACCACAUGGUACUAAAAUAAGAAAGUGCGAAAUCACAGAGUACUAAAAUGAGAAAGUGCGAAACCACAGGUUACUAACUUGAUACACUUUAAACCACAAGGUACUAAAGUGAGAAAGUGCAAAACUACAGGGUACUAAUUUGAUACACUUUAAAUCACACGAUACUGAAGUGAGAAAGAGUGAAACCACAAGGAGGGUUUUUGAAGUUUUCUCUUUAUUUUAUAAAAUUAUUUAAAUAUAAAUAUUUAAUUUAAUAAUAAAAAAAUAAAACUAAAUUAAAAUAAACAGUCAAAGUGCAUAUAU
rnacentral:lncRNA from 1 species